UGGAAGAUAGUAAAACAUUGCUUGGUC
rnacentral:piRNA from 1 species